rnacentral:rRNA from 1 species
GACGAACGCUGGCGGCGUGCUUAACACAUGCAAGUCGAACGAGAAAGCCCUUCGGGGUAAGUACAGUGGCGGACGGGUGAGUAACACGUGGGCAACCUGCCCCGGAGAGCGGGACAACCCGAGGAAACUCGGGCUAACACCGCAUGAUGCGUCUCCACUUAAGUGGAGCCGCCAAAUGGUAGCUUCGGCCUCCGCGCUGGGAUGGGCCCGCGCCGGAUUAGCUAGUUGGUUGGGGUAAUGGCCCACCAAGGCGACGACGGGUAGCCGGCCUGAGAGGGUGACCGGCCACACUGGGACUGAGAUACGGCCCAGACUCCUACGGGAGGCAGCAGUGGGGAAUAUUGCACAAUGGGCGCAAGCCUGAUGCAGCGACGCCGCGUGAGGGAUGACGGCCUUCGGGUUGUAAACCUCUUUCAGCAUCGACGAAGCGAAAGUGGCGGUAGGUGCAGAAGAAGGACCGGCCAACUACGUGCCAGCCGCCGCCGUAA